CAGAGCAUGUACAUCAGGAUGUUUGUGUAAAGUUACGGUAUAAAAGCGGUUUCAGCCCCGCCGAACACUUGUAUCACUGCAUCGGCGGACAAUACUAUACGCACUGCAUUGGUGGACACAAGACGCACUCUGUCGGCAGACAAUACAAGGCAUACUGCAUCAGAAGACAAUACAAGGCACACUGCAUCGGAGGACAAUACAAGACAAAUAUGAGGUUAAUCGUACUGGCUAUUUGUGUUGCAGUCUGUGUUUCGUUAGCUGGUGCACAGGCUGGAUGUCGUGCAAAUGAAAACGGUGUCCCUUGCAGCUGUGGUGGGUCACAGAAAGGUGUUUGUUUAAUCGGGCAAUGUAUAUGUCCGAAUGUUAGAAGGAAACGGUCGUCAUGUUCAAGUCACAGCGAUUGUCGCUGGUGUCAAGGGUACUGUCAGGGCGGGUCUUGUGUUUGUCCAGCCUAGAGGAUUCAGUUGUACAGUAACAAUAAUGAGACGAGUUUUGCAGCAUAAUAUCAAUAAAAAACUGGACGAACGAAAUAAAAUGAUAUGGAUACUAAAUAAUUAGUUUUUGAAACACCAAUACACCUGCUUUUGAAAAUAAACUUAUUUUCCCCCUGUA